CACGUAGGGGACGAGCGUUGUCCGGAUUCAUUGGGCGUAAAGCGCGCGUAGGUGGCUCGGAAAGUCGGUCGUGAAAUGCCGGGGCUCAACCCCGGGACUGCGUCCGAUACUCCCGAGCUGGAGGCGGGUAGGGGAGAUCGGAAUUCCUGGUGUAGCGGUGAAAUGCGCAGAUAUCAGGAGGAACACCGGUGGCGAAGGCGGGUCUCUGGGCCGUAACUGACGCUGAGGAGCGAAAGCGUGGGGAGCGAACAGG
rnacentral:rRNA from 1 species